rnacentral:rRNA from 1 species
GAUGAACGCUGGCGGCGUGCCUAAUACAUGCAAGUCGAGCGAAGCGGGGACGGGUGAGUAACACGUGGAUAACCUCCUAUAAGACUGGGAUAACUUCGGGAAACCGGAGCUAAACCGGAUACUCAUACCUGGAUCCGCGCUGCAUUAGCUAGUUGGUAAGGUAACGGCUUACCAAGGCAACGAAGCAUAGACGACCUGAGAGGGUGAUCGGCCACACUGGAACUGAGACACGGUCCAGACUCCUACGGGAGGCAGCAGUAGGGAAUCUUGCGCAAUGGGCGAAAGCCUGACGGAGCAAGGCCGCGUGAGUGAAGAAGGUCUUCGGAUCGUAAAGCACUGUUAGUGGGGAGGCGGUACCUAAACAGAAAGCAACGGCUAACUCCGUGCCAGCAGCCGCGGUAAUUC